rnacentral:rRNA from 1 species
AUGUCUGCCUCUGUCAUGGCACCUUUGGCUCCGAAACCAUCUCCCUCUCCUCUGUUACAACGAUCCAAGCUUCGAGGCCUGCGACCAUCGGCGAGGCCAAGGCCGUCGUUGCUCAUAGUGGCCAAGAAGGCCAAGACUGCCUAACCCUACGGGCCUGGUGGUGGAGUGGUGUUCAAGGAAGGCGUCGAUGCGUCUGGAAGGGUAGCCAAGGAAGAAGACGACCCAAGGAGGAGCGUGUUCUGCUGCGCCUUUCCCACCUCCUCGGCGCACAGGGGGAUGGCUAGCUCCGCGCAGCAGUAG